UGUUCAUUGGCAUCGAUUGUUUCCACGAUAUUGUUAAUCGACAUAAAUCCAUAGCGGGAUUUGUGGCAAGUACGAAUGCCGAGUUAACCAAGUGGUACUCUCAGUGUGUCAUCCAGGCCACAGGAGAAGAGCUUGUGAAUGAGCUGCACACCUGCUUGAAAGCUGCCCUGGAUGUCUGGUGUGAAAACGAAUCAUCAAUGCCACGUUCUAUUAUUGUGUAUCGAGAUGGAGUGGGAGAUGGUCAGCUUCAAGCAUUGCUUGACCAGGAAGCAAAACAGAUGUCAACCUACUUAAAACCCAUCUCUCCUAACAAUUUUGCUCUAGCUUUCAUUGUGGUGAAGAAACGAAUAAACACUAGAUUUUUUCUUAAAUGUGGAAGCCGUUUUGAAAAUCCACGUCCAGGAACAGUUAUUGAUGUAGAGUUGACUAGGAAUGAGUG